rnacentral:rRNA from 1 species
CCUACGGGUGGCAGCAGUGGGGAAUAUUGGACAAUGGGGGGAACCCUGAUCCAGCCAUGCCGCGUGUGUGAAGAAGGCCCUCGGGUUGUAAAGCACUUUCAGUGAGGAAGAACGCCUGGUGGUUAAUACCCAUCAGGAAAGACAUCACUCACAGAAGAAGCACCGGCUAACUCCGUGCCAGCAGCCGCGGUAAUACGGAGGGUGCGAGCGUUAAUCGGAAUUACUGUGCGUAAAGCGCGCGUAGGUGGCUUGAUAAGCCGGUUGUGAAAGCCCCGGGCUCAACCUGGGAACGGCAUCCGGAACUGUCAAGCUAGAGUGCAGGAGAGGAAGGUAGAAUUCCCGGUGUAGCGGUGAAAUGCGUAGAGAUCGGGAGGAAUACCAGUGGCGAAGGCGGCCUUCUGGACUGACACUGACACUGAGGUGCGAAAGCGUGGGUAGCAAACAGGAUUAGAUACCCCAGUAGUC